AUUGAACGCUGGCGGCAUGCCUUACACAUGCAAGUCGAACGGCAGCACGGGUGCUUGCACCUGGUGGCGAGUGGCGAACGGGUGAGUAAUACAUCGGAACGUACCUUAUCGUGGGGGAUAACGCAGCGAAAGCUGUGCUAAUACCGCAUACGCCCUGAGGGGGAAAGCGGGGGAUCGAAAGACCUCGCGCGAUUAGAGCGGCCGAUGCCUGAUUAGCUUGUUGGUGGGGUAAAAGCCCACCAAGGCGACGAUCAGUAGCUGGUCUGAGAGGACGAUCAGCCACACUGGGACUGAGACACGGCCCAGACUCCUACGGGAGGCAGCAGUGGGGAAUUUUGGACAAUGGGGGCAACCCUGAUCCAGCAAUGCCGCGUGAGUGAAGAAGGACUUCGGGUUGUAAAGCUCUUUUGUCAGGGAAGAAACACCGGCUCUAACACAGUCCGGGAAUUACGGUACCUGAAGAAUAAGCACCGGCUAACUACGUGCCAGCCGCCGCGGUAA
rnacentral:rRNA from 1 species